AAGGUUGGUUCUUGAAUAUUUUCAUUUAUGUUUUUUCAGUUCUUUGAAUGGAAUUCCUAUAAUCCAAAAUGAGCUAUUGAAUAGCUCUUUUGCUACAUUGUGUUUGCAAAUCAAUAUUUAGGCUAAUAAUUGAAGGCUAAUUCUUUUUUGUUAAAAAAUUUAAUUUGGUUUUGUAGGUAAAGAUUGUAAAUUUGAUUCAGGUAUGAAUACAACAACAACAACAACAACAACAAAGCCUUUUCCCACUAAGUGGGGUCGGCUAUAUGAAUCCUAGAACGCCAUUGCGCUCGGUUUUGUGUCAUGUUCUCCGUUAGAUCCAAGUACUCUAGUCUUUUCUUAGGGUCUCUUCCAAAGUUUUCCUAGGUCUUCCUCUACCCCUUCGGCCCUGAACCUCUGUCCCGUAGUCACAUUUUCGAACCGGAGCGUCAGUAGGCCUUCUUUGCACAUGUCCAAACCACCGGAACCGAUUUUCUCUCAUAUUUCCUUCAAUUUUGGCUACUCCUACUUUACCUCGGAUAUCCUCAUUCCCAAUCUUAUCAUUUCUCGUGUGCCCAUACAUCCCACGAAGCAUCCUCAUCUCCGCUACACCCAUUUUGUGUACGUGUUGAUGCUUCACCGCCCGACAUUCUGUGCCAUACAACAUCGCUGGCCUUAUUGCCGUCUUAUAAAAUUUUCCCUUGAGCUUCAGUGGCCUACGACGGUCACACAAACACGCCCGGAUGAUGCACUCUUACACUUCAUCCAUCCAGCUUGUAUUCUAUGGUUGAGAUCUCCAUCUAAUUCUCCGUUCUCUUGCAAGAUAGAUCCUAGGUAGCGAAAACGGUCACUUUUUGUGAUCUUCGCUAGAUUGCUCCGGUCAUUAGUGUGGAUAAGUAUAUAAAUGGAUAGAGAUAGGAAAGUAAACACAAGAUGUACGUGGUUCACCCAGAUUGGCUACGUCACGGGAAUAGAGGAGUUCUCAUUAAUUGUGAAGGGUUUACACAAGUACAUAGGUUCAAGCUCUCCUUUAGUGAGUACAAGUGAAUGAUUUAGUACAAAUGACAUUAGGAAAUAUUGUGGGAGAAUGAUCUCGUAACCACGAAACUUCUAAGUACCAGAGUGUGGUAUCGUCUUGACUUGCCUUAUCUGUCUCAUAGGUAGAUGUGGCAUCUUCUCUGGAAGUACUCUUCCUCCAUCCAGGGGUGGUAUCUGUAACUGGUGGAGAUGCACAAGGUAAUGUAUCAAUUUCAUUUGAAGCUUACUUGUAGUUUCAGGCUUGGUCAAGCGCGAUACAAACCAUGUAGUAGGAAUCCCCCAAGUCGUCGAGCUAGGGGAUCUGCUGAAAGAGGUGACAGACAAGGUAAGCAAUCAGAGCUCCGGCUGAUUGUUCACAUUCUUCCUAUCUUGCAGGCAGCAUGAAGGAUAAAGAGAAGAAAAAUGAGAAGAGAUGAUAUGGGAUACUUUUGCUUUUGAAGAAGUAACUUUCCACAGGCUUAUUCUUGAACUGGGCUGGAGGGUUUUCUGGUUUCCUCCAGAGUAUAAGGCCGAUUGAAGAAUUUGAGGGUCAAAACAAGUCCAUCAAAUCUAGAGUACGUUCGACCCUGCUGAUAUGAGAUACUUUUGCUUUUGACAGAGUAGUGGAUGUAUCGGCACGUGUGCUGUUACGCUUGUCUCCACAUGCUUCCUUGUAUCCUUUUCACUUGCCCUAUCUGUUCCUCAGGCAGAUGCGGUAUCUUCCCUGGAAGCAUAAGAUGUUGAAGAUGAGUACUCGAGAGCAAUGCCAGGUAAGUAAUCAGGUAAGGGGUUCCAGGCAGUCAGUUCUUGGCUGGAAGCUUGAUUCCAAGUGCUGACUGAUUGCUCUCUUUCUCAUUGUCUUGCAGGUAAGAACAAGGCCAAAGGAAAAGACAGGGAAAAAGCAUGAUAUGGGAUACUCUUGCUUUUAACCCUGAUGAUAUGAGAUAUUCUUGCUCUAGUAUAGCUUGUUUACAGAGGUAUUAUCGGGGGGGGGAAAGAAAGCUGAAUAUUUCGAAAGGCUUCGUUGGGAGUGCCCUCUCAGAUAAGAGGAAGGGUUGAGCAUUUUUGCAGGUCUGCCUGUCCGUUGGGGAUGGAGGUCGACAUAUAUAGGAGUCUCCCUAACAUCAAGUAAUAAUGUUAUUCCUUUACCCUCCUUGGUCAUAGCACGGUAGUGGGAGCUGCCAGCUUCACAUGUUUUAACUCAGUCAGAGCACUUUGAAAAAGUGGUCUGUGGUAUCUGGAAAGCUGAUGUUGCGUGUGAAGAUUACAGACAAGCUUUAUCCAAGGAGAUCCAGCUCUUGAAGUUGGGAAAGUGGUGCCUCUUCGGUUUUCGAACAAGCAAUCCUGUCGGGGAUCUGGCUCUCGAGAUUCGGAGAACGAUGCCUCUUCGAUUUUUGAGAAAGCAAUCCUGCUGGGGGUCUGGCUCUCGAGAUUCGGAGAGCGAUGUCUCUUCGAUUUUUGAGAAAGUAAUCAUGUUGGGAGUCUGGCUCUCGAGAUUCGGAGGGCGGUGCCUCUUCGAUUUUGGAGCAAGCAAUUUUGUUGGGAGUGUUGUCUCGAAUGUGAGUAAAGGUUGGGCAUGUUUGCUAGUCUACCUUGCCACGAAGCACAGAGGUUGACACACAGAGACUUUCCAAUUAUCCAGCAGUGGUACUGUUCUUUUACCCUCUCUUCGAUUUUUGAGAAAGUAAUCAUGUUGGGAGUCUGGCUCUCGAGAUUCGGAGGACGGUGCCUCUUCGAUUUUGGAGCAAGCAAUCUUGUUGGGAGUGUUUUCUCGAAUGUGAGUAAAGGUUGGGCAUGUUUGCUAGUCUACCUUGCCACGAAACACAGAGGUUGACACAUCGGGACUUUCCAAUUAUCCAGUAGCGGUACUGUUCCUUUACCCUUGUGGGUAAUAAUAUGGUAGCUAGACCUUCAAAAUUUAUGUGUUUAAACAUUGUUAGUGUUGUUUCUUUGCUAUUCUUUUACCCUUCUUGGUCAGAGCGAUGUAGUGGGAGCUGCAAGCUUCACGUGUCUCAACUUUGUCAGAGAACUUUGGCAAAGUUAUCUGUGGUACCCAUGAGCUAUUGUUGCGCGUGGGAAGUGGGUGAUUGAACAGUACGAUUCAUGUGCUUUCUACUUUGCCAGAAAUCUUCGACAGAAUGCCCAUAAAUUCUGCAAAGCUGAGUGUGCAUGUGACAGGUGCUGACAAGGCUGGGAAAGUAGGUGCCUCUUCGAUUUCUGAGAUCGGCCCUCGUGGUCUCUGAGCAGCCCAGCUUUUGAGAAAGCAAGCCUCUUCGAUUUCUGAGAUCGGCCUUCGUGGUCUUUGAGCAGCCCAGCUUUUGAGAAAGCAAACGCCUCUUCGAUUUCUAAGAUCGACCCUCGUGGUCUCUUAGCAGCCCAGCUUUUGAGAAAGCAAACGCCUCUUCGAUUUCUGAGCAUGCGCCUCUUCGAUUUCUGAAGCUUCGUCGAGUGCAGAUUUUUAUAGGGGCUGACAUUAAGUUUCAAAGCACACUUGAAUAUCCACCAGUAGAAGCUCUAUUCUUGCACUUCUAAGAUCUUGAUUUGUCCGACCUCUUCUCUCUUCAACACCUUUGAAAAUGUCUGGCCCCUCCGACCGUCGUUUUGACUUGAACCUUGUUGAAGAGGCAGCCCCGCCUUCUCCAGACAACAUAUGGCGCCCAUCCUUCGUCUCCCCUACUAGUCCUCUUACCGUUGGGGAUUCCGUGAUGAAGAAUGAUAUGACCGCUGCGGUAGUGGCCAGGAACCUUCUCUCCCAAAGAUAACAGACUACUUUCCAAACGGCUGAUGAGUUGGCUGUUAAGGAUUCUCUGGCUCUCAGUGUUCAGUGUGCAGGUUCUGUGUCUAAUAUGGCCCAACGCCUAUUUGCUCGAACCCGCCAAGUUGAAUCAUUGGCGGCUGAAGUGAUGAGUCUCAAACAGGAGAUUAGAGGGCUCAAGCAUGAGAAUAAACAGUUGCACCGGCUCGCACAUGACUAUGCUACAAACAUGAAGAGGAAGCUUGACCAGAUGAAGGAAUCUGAUGGUCAGGUUUUACUUGAUCAUCAGAGAUUUGUGGGUUUGUUCCAAAGGCAUUUAUUGCCUUCGUCUUCUGGGGCUGUAGAGGAAGACCUAGGAAAACUUUGGAAGAGACCCUAAGAAAAGACUUGAGUACUUGGAUCUAACGGAGGACAUGACACAAAACUGAGCGCAAUGGCGUUCUAGGAUUCAUAUAGCCGACCCCACUUAGUGGGAAAAGGCUUUGUUGUUGUUGUUGUUGUCUUCUGGGGCUGUACCGCGUAAUGAAGCUUCAAAUGAUCAACCUCUGAUGCCUCCUCCUUCUAGGGUUCUGUCCAGUACUGAGGCUCCGACUGAUCCCCCUCCGGUGCCUUCUCUUUCUGGGGCUCUACCGACUGCUGAGACUUCUCCUAAGCAACCUUUGUGAAGACUCCCUCUUGUUGGUUUAUUUUGACUCAAGUAUAUGUACAUAUUUGUAACUAAUCGGGGAUAUCAAUAAAUAAGCUUUCCUUCAUUUCAACGUAUUGUGUUAAAUACACCAAAGCCUUCUUCGCUAAGUUCUUGAAUUUUCUUUUGUUGAAGCUUGUAUGUUGAAGCUUGUAUGUUGAAGCUUUGUGAGUGGAGCAUGUAGGUUGAGGUAGUGUUCCCUUAAUUUCCCGAGUGAGGAAAACUUCUCGGUUGGAGACUUGGAAAAUCCAAGUCACUGAGUGGGAUCGGCUAUAUGAAUCUUAGAACGCCAUUGUGUUCUGUCCUGUGUCAUGUCAUCUGUUAGAUCCAAGUACUCUAAGUCUUUUCUUAGGGUCUCUUCCAAAGUUUUCCUAGGUCUUCCUCUACCCCUUCGGCCCUGAACCUCUGUCCUAUAGUCGCAUCUUCUAAUCGGAGCGUCAGUAGGCCUUCUUUGCACAUGUCUAAACCACCGUAACCGAUUUUCUCUCAUCUUUCCUUCAAUUUCGGCUACUCCUACUUUACCCCGGAUAUCCUCAUUCCUAAUCUUAUCCUUUCUCGUGUGCCCACACAUCCAACGAAGCAUCCUCAUCUCCGCUACACCCAUUUUGUGUACGUGUUGAUGCUUCACCGCCCAACAUUCUGUGCCAUACAGCAUCGCCGGCCUUAUUGCCGUCCUAUAAAAUUUUCCCUUGAGCUUCAGUGGCAUACGGCGGUCACACAACACGCCGGAUGCACUCUUCCACUUCAUCAAUCCAGCUUGUAUUCUAUGGUUGAGAUCUCCAUCUAAUUCUCCGUUCUUUUGCAAGAUAGAUCCUAGGUAACGAAAACAGUCGCUCUUUGGUAUUUCUUGAUCUCUGAUCCUCACCCCUAACUCGUUUUGGCCUCCAUUUGCACUGAACUUGCACUCCAUAUAUUCUGUCUUUGAUCGGCUUAGGCGAAGACCUUUAGAUUCCAACACUUUUCUCCAAAGGUUAAGCUUUGCAUUUACCCCUUCCUGAGUUUCAUCUAUCAACACUAUAUCGUCUGCGAAAAACAUACACCAAGGAAUAUCAUCUUGAAUAUGUCCUGUUAACUCAUCCAUUACCAACGCAAAAAGGUAAGGACUUAAGGAUGAGCCUUGAUGUAAUCCUACAGUUAUGGGAAAGCUUUCGGUUUGUCCUUCAUGAGUUCUUACGGCAGUCUUUGCUCCUUCAUACAUAUCCUGUAUAGCUUGGAUAUAUGCUACUCGUACUCCUUUCUUCUCUAAAAUCCUCCAAAGAAUGUCUUUUGGGACCCUAUCAUACGUUUUUUCCAAAUCUAUAAAGGCCAUGUGUAAAUCCUUUUUCCCAUCUCUAUAUCUUUCCAUCAAUCUUCGUAAGAGAUAGAUUGCCUCCAUGGUUGAGCGCCCUGGCAUGAACCCGAAUUGGUUGUCCGAAACCCGUGUCUCUUGCCUCAAUCUAUGCUCAAUGACUCUCUCCCAGAGCUUCAUUGUAUGACUCAUUAGCUUAAUACCCAUAUAGUUCAUGCAAUUUUGUAAAUCGCCCUUAUUCUUGUAGAUAGGCACCAAAAUGCUCGUUCGCCACUCAUUUGGCAUCUUCUUCGUUUUCAAAAUCCUAUUGAAAAGGUCAGUGAGCCAUGUUAUACCUGUCUCUCCCAAAAUUUUCCACACUUCGAUUGGUAUCGUCUGGGCCUACUGCUUUUCUAUGCUUCAUCUUCUUCAAAGCUACAAUCACUUCUUCCUUCCGGAUUCUACGAUAAAAAGAGUAAUUUCUACACUCUUCUGAGUUACUCAACUCCCCUAAAGAAGCACUCAUUUCAUGUCCUUCAUUGAAAAGAUUAUGAAUACUUACACUUAUUCGUCUUUGCAUUUUCUCCUUCUUUUAAGAAAUUACAUUUCCUUUCACAACUUCAACCAAAACCAUUCAACAAACAAACAUAUUCACAAAGGAGGUUGUUGGUUCAAGUACCAAUUUCAGGCAUUGAUGCUCUGACUUUAUAUCAACAUUUUUUGGAUUGCAUAGGUUAUUUUUAGGAGUUGACAGAAAUGAAAAUUUUGUUUAGUUUCAUAUGUGCUUAUCUAUCAUUGUAACUGGGCAAUAAUUUCUUUACUGCCCUAUAUAUUCUGACUUAUUAGGCUAGCAUUCAUUUGGUCUUGCAAUUUUAAUUAUCAAUUCAAUUCAAUUUCUUCAUUGCUAAUAUUAAUGUCUCCAUCUAGCGUCCUCAUUGAGUAAAAAAUGUCGUACCCAGUGCACAAGGCUCCUACUUUACGCAGGGUCUGGGAGAGGUGAAUGUCGGCUAGCCUUACCCUCAUUUAUGGAGAGGCUGCUCCCAAGUCUCGAACCAGA
rnacentral:lncRNA from 1 species